AAAACCUGUUCUGCUCUUGCCAGAUCUGCGUUAAUGUAGACAAAAAGAGAGAAACAAGGAGACAGGUUGAAAACUGGAAACGCAAGCGAAGAGAAGAAAAAAAGCGACAACAUGAACUGAAGAGAAAGGAGAGGAAGAAAGCGAAGCAGGGUAUUAAGUAGAGAUAGGGCUCUGAAACCAGAAAGAUUAGUUCAAACACUUGCUUCAACAAAUGCUUGAAAUUUUUGCAGAAUUAUUGACUAAAUUAUGAUGAGAUGCUAAAGUUUAGAGCUUAGAGAAAACUAAUGAUAGAAAUCAAUUAUGAUCACGAUAAGAAAUGUUUAUGAAGUUAUUAUAAUGUUGAAAUGAAUGAUAUUUUCUUC